UUAAGUUCAGCGGGUAGCCCUACCUGAUCCGAGGUCAACCUGAGAAGAUGGGGUUGCUGGCAGGCAACCGCCUGGGUCUCCAGAAGCGAGAUGUGUUACUACGCUUGAAGCCAGAUGGCACCGCCACUGAUUUUGAGGCCCGCUGGGAGACCAGCGCAGGCCCAAUACCAAGCCGAGCUUGAAGGUUGAAAUGACGCUCG
rnacentral:misc_RNA from 1 species